AACGAACGCUGGCGGCAUGCCUAACACAUGCAAGUCGAACGAGACCUUCGGGUCUAGUGGCGCACGGGUGCGUAACGCGUGGGAAUCUACCCUUGGGUUCGGAAUAACAGUUAGAAAUGACUGCUAAUGCCGGAUGAUGACGUAAGUCCAAAGAUUUAUCGCCCAAGGAUGAGCCCGCGUAAGAUUAGCUUGUUGGUGGGGUAAUGGCCUACCAAGGCGACGAUCUUUAGCUGGUCUGAGAGGAUGAUCAGCCACACCGGGACUGGGACACGGCCCAGACUCCUACGGGAGGCAGCAGUGGGGAAUAUUGGACAAUGGGCGAAAGCCUGAUCCAGCAAUGCCGCGUGAGUGAUGAAGGCCUUAGGGUUGUAAAGCUCUUUUACCAGGGAUGAUAAUGACAGUACCUGGAGAAUAAGCUCCGGCUAACUCCGUGCCAGCCGCCGCGGUAA
rnacentral:rRNA from 1 species